rnacentral:rRNA from 1 species
UACGGGGGGAGCAAGCGUUGUUCGGAUUUACUGGGCGUAAAGGGCGCGUAGGCGGCGCAACAAGUCACUUGUGAAAUCUCCGGGCUUAACCCGGAGCGGCCAAGUGAUACUGUCGUGCUAGAGUGCGGAAGGGGCUACUGGAAUUCUCGGUGUAGCGGUGAAAUGCGUAGAUAUCGAGAGGAACACCUGCGGCGAAGGCGGCCUGCUGGGCUGUUGCUGACGCUGAGGCGCGACAGCGUGGGGAGCGAACAGG